CUCUCUCAUCUUAUCGUGGCAAAGACCUUUCAUUUUUGUGACCCUUCAUUUUUUUUUCUCUCUCUCUCUCUCUCGUCUCUCUCUCGAGCUGAGAGUGAAAUCCUCAAAGAGGCAUUUAGCUCUUUUAGGAUCAAAACUCUCGCAUUCAAUCUCAUAGAGUGUUACAAAAUCAAAACUGGUUUCAUCCACCUCCAAUUUCAAACCCUUCCAAUCCUUUUUCAGUUUCAAAUUCCUUUUGCACCCUCUUCAAAACCCUAGACUCUAUUGACCCCAACUUUGCCGGCUCCGCCAAGCAUUUGUGUCCUCCUCCACGCUCCACCAUAAUUUCCCAUUCCCAAAAUUUCUCAUUCUCCCUUUCCUCUCUGAAUCCUUGAUCACUCUCACGCGCUCCUAUAUUCACUCCUCCAUCGUCGCUUUCUCAAACAACCAGAACACCAUCUUCAUCACAUGGGAACCUUUGUCGAGGGAAUAAAGGAAGAGGCUGUACUCUCUCCUGCGCAUGCUCUGUCCCUUAUAGCUGCCUGAGAAGAUUAUGGAUGAGAAAUCUCUGAUCAAGAAGUAUCAGAAGGAAAUUUCUGAGUUAAAGCAGUCAAUUAUACGAGCUAGCAUAUUUACCAGAUAGACUAUGUUAAGUAAUUAGGGGUAUCAGAUAUCAACCUUUGCCACAAAAUUAGGAGUUUGGAACAUUGCUUUCCUUGGUUCUGGAAUUUUGCUGGUGAAGUAUAUUGUUUCUGUUUUGGCAGCAAUUUAUAUGCCUCAGGUGAAUAUAAACUUUCAGGCGUUGGUUACUCGUACCGGCUCAUACAAUUUUUGCAAUAAGCUUGAUUUACCAGGGUUGUUUUGUAUGUAUCGUCAUUGGCUAUUGUGAAGGAGGAGAUAUGCCGAGGCAAUUAAAAAGGCCAACGACGUUCAUUUUCCUGAAGAGGUUGGUCGCUCUUUUAUAAAGUGAAUUGACCGAACAAAAAGAUAGAGGAAGCAAAAGAACAUCACCUAGAUGAAGAUGCUCUUGAUACC